rnacentral:tRNA from 1 species
GGACGGGUGGCGGAACUGGCAGACGCGCACGGCUUAGGACCGUGUGCCGCAAGGCUUGGGGGUUCAACUCCCCCCCCGUCCA